rnacentral:rRNA from 1 species
UACGGGGGGGACAAGCGUUGUUCGGAUUUACUGGGCGUAAAGGGCGCGUAGGCGGACCUCUAAGUCGGGUGUGAAAACUGUUGGCUUAACUGACAGCCUGCACUCGAUACUGGAGGCCUUGAGUACGGAAGAGGAGAGUGGAAUUCCAGGUGUAGCGGUGAAAUGCGUAGAUAUCUGGAAGAACACCAGUAGCGAAGGCGGCUCUCUGGUCCGAUACUGACGCUUAAGCGCGAAGGCUUGGGGAGCAAACAGG